CUGAAACCCCCACGUUUAGCGGACGCAUCAUCUCAGCCUUCAGGAGGUCCAAUCUAGGCGGGAAGUGGUGUCUGCCUUAGGAGCCCUGAACCGGAAGGGGAGGCACUGCCUCAGCCCUUGGGGACCCCCUGUCUUAGGGGAGGCAUCACCUCAGCUGUGAGUGGCUCCAGAUUUGAUGUGUUACGUCACAGCCCUGUUCUCGAGGAUCAAAAAUAGACCAGCAACAGUGAAGGAUUUGGGGAAGACAGCAAAAGAUGGAUGUUGCUCCCUGGGAGCCAGACGACAAGGAAAAAAAAAAUGCCUACCUGGACUACAGAAGGGGAGAAGUCACGCUGAGGCUCCUUGGCAGAGUAGGAUGCAGGGAGAAGACACCAUCUGCAAGUCAAGAAAGAGCCCUCACCCCCUAGAAACUGACCAUGCUGUCACCCUAAUUGGACUCCCAGCCUCCAGAACUGUGAGAAAAUAAAUGUCUGUUGU